CACCGGGAUCUGCCUGUGUCAAAUCCAUGUUCCACUGCAAGUUAUAGAUGUCCAAAAUGCUCAUUGAUAGACAAAUUUGAAGCUUGUUUAUUCUAUGGUCAAGUUCAACAUGCAGAUUUUGACGAUGUCUCAAGUGAAUUCAUUGAUUGCGUCUCUAACUUUACACAGAAUGUUUGGAAUAUUUUGGCUCUCAGUUGCCAGUACCUUAGAUUGAUUAAGAGUCCUAUUGAUUUCAGUUGGCUUGGUACCACAAAAGAUUCCAGUGUAGGGGAAGUUCUGAUUCGGUCUAGUGGCACUAAAGCGGGUUCUUGUGGGACUGAGAGAAGCAUUUCUGGAAGUGAAGCAGAGGGAUACACAGCCCAGGUACGGAUAUGUAUUUUUAAGCUCGGUGUCCAUUGCUUACUAUAUGGAGGAUAUCUAGCGAGCAUAUGUUAUGGUAAUUCCCAUUUGACCUGUUAUGUUCGUAAUAUUUUAGAUAUGGAAGGGAUAUUAUUGAAUCCUUGUCAUGAACCAAAUUGAGUUUGAGAUCUUAGAAGUUAAAUUAUUCCUGUUUUGGUGUUAAUUGCUGUGUUAUUAUACUCGUUAAGAAUCUGUUAAAAAUGUUGGUUGCAUAUAUCGUCUUCUCUGCUUGUGAUUUUUCGCCUCGAACUCUAUUCGUCUUGCAUGAUGCCCCAAGGAAUCAGCCACACGUAUCAGAAGUUUGUGUCAACGGAUUCAAUUUGAUAGACUACAGUGGGUUUCAAAAUAGAAUAAUCCGCUAUAGCUGUUUCAUAUAUCAUUUCGGUUCAGUCAAAUUAAAGAACCAAAAUUGAAAUCACAAUUGGAUUCGAUUUGGAAACAUCUGAAAUACAAAAUUGAAACCACAAUCGAAUUAAAGAACAAAAAUUGUCAUCUCCUGAUGCAUCCCUGUUUCUAUUUGUGUUCGUGUUUGUGUCAAAAAUACAUCGUAAGAAUGUUAUAACAGUUGCAUACUUAAAGCGACGCCCUACUGAAUGUUACAAUAGAUGCAUACAAGACCGUCGCUAAUGUCAAUGUUUCUUCUUUUUGUUGGACUUUGAGUUGGAGCCAUGCUCAUUUUUAUGUCGCUUUUCCCCACUCUUGUGACUCUCUCUCUGUUUUCCUUUAUCCAUUUUGUUUCUACUUGAUUUCACGCUAACGAGACCACCAGCAGGUAGGUUUGCACCGCCAUUCUGUAAUGCAUUCUCAAAGUCUGCAUCUCUGUCCCCAAUCGCGUACUGUUGAAGCAACUUGGGAUCUAAUGACCCCUCCGAGUUGGAUCUCAUCCCAUCCUGUAUGUGCGUAGUCAAGUCAGCCCAACUCUUGGGAUUCAGAACGCGGGAAAGAGAGGCAGUUCAGGUAACACGAAGGUAAGGAAGGAAUAAAGCGUACCUCAACUUUUCUUGCAGCAUCAUUGAGAUCAUCAUCAACAGAGAUCUUGUGAGGUUCCAAGAGAGUCUGAACCAAAAUUUCCGAAUCAGAGUGGAGUUACAACAUAGGCAGAAGAAAAGCACAGUAGCAUACAUACACGCACGCACGCACAAUUAUAAUGUGAUAGACGAUGUUUAAGCUUGCAUUAAGAAACACAAUAAUGUAAACUUAGCGAUUACAUAUCAAACAAAAUAGUUCAGGUACCAAAGUGGCUCACGCGCAACACACAUGUCAAUAUCAUAUAGUUAAGCCAACUAGAAUCAUAAUGCAUCCUACGACAUGAAAUUAUUAGAAAGAGAUGGAAACCACCAACAUAUCAUGUACUUUCCAUAAGAAAAAAAAGGGUUACUGCUUUGCUGAACUUACUUCUUUUGGUUUAGGCAAGGUUGACACAAGGCCCUCAGAUGCAAUAGCGUAUAGAUAUUUGUGAAACUUUUUCAUAACUUUUAUAAACAGAGACAAUAUUUGCUGCCUUUCCAGUUUCAUCAACCCCUGGAAAACGUGAAUGUAAGUAAAAAUCUACACCUGAUAAGAAUGAAAUAAAGAGCAGAAAUGACGCCACCAAGUAGAGUGUUUUGUCUUUGCAAGUGGGUUUGAUUGCGUGCUCGCAUUGCAUCUAUGUGACUGGUAUAGCCAAGCAAACCAUAUGAGUAACAAGUAGAGAAACAAACCUCAAUAUAGGAGAUAUCUUGAUUCUGUAAGCCAAUGCAGAGCAAUAUGGAAGCCUGGGCACCUGUCAAUGUCACUGGAAGUUUCUCUUGGAAAUACAGAUGUGAAAGCGUUGGAACAAGAUCCAAAAUCUGUAAAAUAAAAGCAUAACUUUAACAUGUGUAAAGUUAUAAACAAACGAUAACUAGAGUACAAGAGGACCUCAGUUUAGAAAAUGACACUUAAUUUCAAAUUCAAAUGGACCCCAGGGUUUAAACUGUAAUUUUAAAAACAAUUCGCAGGUAAUUUGAAGAAAGUAAGGUCUGUUGGUUAAGGAUGAAAAUGCAAUAAGCCCUCGGAUCCCUCCUCCCCACUAUCAUCUAUGCCUAACAGGAGGAAGAACAUCUUGACACAUUCAAACUGGCAGCCUUUCCCAAAAAACAGAAGGAAGCAGAUAAUCCACUCAAACCAUAAUCAACAAAAAUGGACGACAUGCCAUUGACCAGGAUGCACUGCACCUUCCUGAGAACCGCACAACAAAUGGGUUCACCUCCCUCAGGGGCAUACCCACAAGGGGGUGGGAUUGGGUGGGAGGGGAAGAGAAGGGGUCUAAUAGCCUAAUCGCUGUUGAUUUCAUCUUUUUAUGUAACACAGAGCACGGGAUGAAACAUCGGCCACAGAAUCCUACACACAAAUUACUUGUAAAGUACACAAAUUCCCCUUCUCAAACAAGCAAUUUUGAACUUUUAAUGUGUAACUGAACAUAUAUAUACAUAUAAUUAGAUCAAUAACUAAACACAAUGUCCUAAUAGUUCACUUUUGAAAAAGAUUAUUCAUAAAACAUUGCAAGAGUAAUAUAUGUUCACAAUCAUGGUAUCAGAUUGUCCACAGUAAGAAAACAAAUAUUUCACCACUGUCAACUAAAAAUUGUAUCACAAUCACAAUCAUAUUGCCACACUGAGACGAUAAUUCUAUCACAAAGGAAUACAAUUUUUCUUUUGUAAUGCAAUAUUACUUUCUUUUUCUAAAGGAAAGCAUAUUUUGUCUUGUAACGCAAAUAUCUUUUUUGAUUCUAAGGGAAGUAUUUCUUGUUCUGUAAUGCAAACAUUACUUCUAUUUUUAAUAUGAAUGUAUGGAAUCAAUUAGUAAUCCUAAGAUAAAAAAAUCCCAAAACACUACAUAGCACUAUGACAGGGCAAGUUGGCAAUCAACCAUUGUUCAGAGAACUUACCAUAUGAAAGUCAGCAAGACUGCUGGUGUAGGCCUCCAGUCGCUUCAUAUCAUAAGGCGAAAGUAAGUCUGUGAUAGACCGUAAGAAUCCAUCUGUGGUAGACGAUUUGGGUUCUCCAUCCUUGUAAUUGAUCUUAGGAUCUAAGAUGCUGGAAAAUUAUUAGUUAGUACGAGCACUUGAACAAUAAGCAUUUAUCAGAAUGGAACUUUUAAUAGUACCUCAUAGCGAGCCUAUAAUCCAUUGUACGAAAACUAUAACCCAAUAGUCUCAAAAAUCUUCUCCUGAAAUCUAGGUAGCCAACAAAUAAUCAAGCUGUGAACUGAAAUACAAAAAAUCUGCACAAAUUUAAAUAGAACAAAGGUUUUCCAAAGAAAAAUGGGCCCACCUAGGUUGAAUGGACGAAAAUCACUGGUUUCAAGUUCAUCAUUCUUCAAAGAUUUGAGGACCAUACACGUAUGCUCCCCGGUCACACCACUCUAUUACAUUGAAAAGAAAAAUGAAAAAUUAUUGUUUAAUCAGUCAUUCAUUCACAAAUGAUAAUAUUCAAAAAAACAGUAAACGGAAAAAAGGAUUCAGUAUGGAGAGGGGAAUCCAUCUUAACUGGAAUAUGUCCAAUAUAGAAUGGAGCAAACUUAUGUUUCCACCAAAACCUGAAAAGGUCCAAGGUAAGCCCAAAGGAGACACCAAUAUAAUGGAGCUUCUCUGGUCGCCUUUCACGAAGAUGAACAAGCAAAUGAGGAAGAUCUGUUCUAGGUUUUAUACUUUCUUCCAGCAAUGAAACCUAUAAAUAAAAUAGACAUAGGUAUCAUUCCGAUAAACAAUAUCAAGGCACAGGCGGCAGGUUGAUUAAUACCAAACAAACAAACCAAUACAUGAUAAUAUACUUUGAUGUCAUUAUGAUUAAAAUUAACACAACAAAUGAUCAUUCACAAAAGUUUGUCAAAUUAUAUUCAAACACAGAAAUUGUUCUACAAUCACCGGAAUGAAGCUUAACCAACUCAAACACUUCGACAGAACAAGAAUUGCAUUACCAGAAACCUAUGAGUUACAAAAUUGCCUCCAAUUGCAAUAAUAAUACAUAGAAUAGUCUCGUAUAAGCAGUUCUCCAACCUAUUAAUUAAAAAUAUUUAUAAAAAAAAAAAAACUAAGCUUGGUGAUUGUAGUUCACCUUCUCAGCAGCUUCUGUGACUCUGAGUGGGGGAGUCUCAACAUCUUCAACGUCCAGUUCAGAAAUAGGAGCAAACUGUCCUUCGUAGUACCUGAGGAGAAAUAAACCCUUAACACCCAUUUUUUCAAAUAUAAAAACAUAAAUGUGAAGCAUCAACUUUUAGAACCAAAGAGAUUCAGUGCAAUUUUCAUGUCAAAACACUUUUAUCUCAAUAAUGAAGUACUUAUGAGUUACAUUGAUACAAGAGCAAUGCAUCCCACAUAUCACACACAUUCCUUAUAUCUGGAUCCCCAACAAUAGCAAUCCAAUGUCACCCACAUAGCACAUGAUACAUACCAGAGGUGUCCCUAGAAUGUCCACAUCAGCCAUUCCUUAUAUCUGUGUCCCCAAAAACAUUUGCAGUAAAAAGUACAUGGACUUAUGAGCACAAAGGGAUAACGGACAUGUAUGGGUUGACUUGAGAGAUAAACCAAGUAAAGUAAGUUCAAGAAAAAAUCUAGGACCAAAUAGGAUACAAGGUCAGAAUCAGUGUGACCCAUCUAAAAAGUUAGGACCCCACAUUAAUUUGUGCAGUCAACAACGAGGAUCCAUCUUUGGAUUAUUAUCCUAAAACGCUCUAUCUUUGGAUUAUAUCCUAAAGUGCUGCUGGUUAAGCUUGUUUCUGGUUUUUCUCUGUUGGAAAUUUCAAUUACUAACGAAAUAUCCAAUCUUCAUUUAAACAUACAGAUUUAAACUCAACUGUUGGCACUGCAGACUCUUGGCCAUUGUUGGGAUUGAAAUAAGCUAGAGUUUCUCAAGAUAAAUGCGGAUGAGGUGGGUUUUAUUUGAGAUAGCGAAUUCCAUGUGUUUGUGGAUUUAUUGCCAAAGCAAUUUGGGAAGAUCCCUGCUGUUUCCUCCAGAUGGAUGGGGUUAUAAUUUCAUUGUAACUUUUCUGAAGUAAGUUUUAGUUGGACUCCUUUUCUUUGCAAUGGACAACUUCUCCUCCUUUCCUUUAGAAAAUGCUUUGCUUUGCUGAAUUUUUCGUAACUCUUAGAAAUGUAACCCAAACUAAGAUGAAAACCCCCAACAUGACCGUAUUUUAAUAUGCUAUCACUUCUAAUCCUCUAUAUCUUUCCACUUGUUUCUCCAACUACCAUCAUAUGACUCGAGAGUUGUAUUGUGAGAAAGUCAUCUGUAUAUCAAAACUGAAAUCAAAUGAUCAUCUCUUCAGCACCCACAUGGUCUAUGUUCUAUAGCUUUCAACCCAAGUGAACUGAAAGCAUGAGACUCACAUUUUGAGUUGCGACUUUAUGUGCCUGAGCCAGGGUGCAUAUGCAUGAUUGCUUUUCAUUCAUUUUAGAAAUCAUUUGAAGCAUUGCUUCAGACAUAUAAUCUUCAAUCUUUUCACCUUUUUUUUUAUGACAAACAGUAGCGUUAGUGGGUUAAAAGUUUAUUUGUUAGGGGGAGGGGAAUCGAUGGGCAUCAAACCCGCACCAGGGUGCAUAUGCAUGAUUGCUUUUCAUUCAAAGUGUAGCAAUAUGGGGCUAAAAGAAUCACUCAGUCAAUCUUUCUCAACACCUUAGGCAUCCACAUACACAUUGGGAUCAUGUAUGUGAUCUACAAAAACGUUUAGGUGGGGAAUAACUCAAAGAGGAGCAUACCUUGUCAAUAGUUCCACUGCUUGUGAUCCAUAUCCAAUCUACAACAACGAAAAAUAAAUUACCAUUUCAACAGAUCCCUGGUUAUAGAUUACCAUUUCAACAAAAUCCUGGUUAUACAUAUUGCUUUGGAAACCAUAAUGAGAGAAUACCUUCAUGGCACUUGGAUGUGUAGCAAUUCGUACAAUCCGAGCACCUGAAAGACUGGGAAAAACUGUGUCCUGAAAUUGCUCACAGAAUUUCCAUGGUAUCUGGUCACCAGAAGGCUGAUGACCAUCACUUAAACUUUUCAUUGCAGAUUCACGAGAGAUCUUUCCCUCAAGGCAGACCUAAGAACAAAAUGAUAGCACAUAAAAUGUUGAGCAUCAAAGAAUUAGUGUUUUAUAGAAGAUGAAGUACGUGUUUAAAGUGUUGUCCUUUAUUGCUAUUUCACAUAAGGUAAAAUUAUAAAUAAAAAAACUAAUAAAAUUUUGGGUAUGCGUUAAAUAACUAAAAGAAAUAAUAGUCCUGAACUAGGGGAAGACAGUCAAACCUGAAUGACACACAAAAUAUCAGGAAGCUGAUUUUUUGACUCAUCAACAGGGCCUGCACGUGCAAAUUAUAAUCAAGUCCAGCCAAAUAGCGGCAAAAAAAGAAAGACCAGUUCUAACGUAACAUAUAUACCAAGUAGCACAAACAGGUGGUGAGCCGGGGCAUCAGCCAUUAGUUGCAAAUCAUUUGGAGAAUUUUUGUAGUGGGAGGCAACAUAUAGAGCCAUCAUCCGCUGCAAGUAUUAGAAUAUGUAAGUUCACUAAUAUGAAAAUGAGAAUCACUAGUCUGACAUUACUUGAACAUGUAAUUACCUGUAAGAACAACUCGCUAUCUUUAUGAUAUGAAAAAAGCGUAUCACAGUUUACGUAGUACAGAUCGCACUCACUGGGUGCAGGUAACCUAGCCGCCAAGAGAGAGAGAAGAGAGAGAGAGAUCAUUAAUAAAGGUAAGGGUUAUAAUGGAGAUGGUUACAUCUUCCUCGGUUCUGACUGUCUAAGCAAAUGUUUUUACCCGUUAAGUUUAGGGAUAUAAUUUGUGAUAUCCAAGCAAAGUAAACCAUGAAGCCAGGAUUCAAUCGGAUCACCAGAAGCAUAUCUGAUAGAUUCUUUCAAUUCUAUCUUUUUGAAAAGACGACCUACAAUCAGGGACAUUUAUCAAUUCAGAAAAUUAUGUCCAAAUAUCACAAAAUAGUUUUUAAAAAAUUAUACAUUGCUCACUUGCAAGCGCCAACAGUUCAAGUAUUUCAGAAACAAUAAUGUUAAGAGAAAGCAGAAGAAACAUUGAAUUUUGAAAAUAAAUUCAAGUUUUGGGGGGAAAGGGGGAUUUUGAUCCAACCUAAUUCAAGAUGAGAAUACAAAACACGGCCAAUAAGGAAUAAGCAUACCAGAUGUAGGCCCCUUAGCAGACACUUGGCUUUGCUCUUCCAAUUGCUGUAGAAGUUUUAGGGACAAAGACCGACCAGUACCUUCAUAGCUUUCAGUGUAAAAUAAAUGUCCUUUAGUAUUUAAAUUGCACUUAGAUUUUUUUUUUUUUACCAAAAGUUGAAUUCAGAGUUGACUUAUAAAUAGAAAGACAUCAAGCAUGAGUCAAGGAAAAGUGGAAACAGCCCAUGAAAAGUGAAAGAUCUUUCAUUCCCCCCCGCGGCCGUAACAGAAAGUGAAAAAGUGAAGUGAAAUAUGUUUCAUGAGACUGUUAAAACCAAAAAAGAACACAUGAUAAGAAUACACGACAUGAAGGAAGAAGAACAUGGAUGAAUCUUACCCAUUAACAGUAGAUGAAAGGAAGACCAGAUAAGGACCAAGCAAAGACUUCACUACUGGUAGUGGAAUAGCAGCUGCUUCAUCAACAACCAACAGUUCAACUUGGGAAAGCUUUUCAUGCUCAUGUGGCCGUAUAUACUGCAAGUACAAGUAACAAAAGUAAAAAACAAAUAGCCCCAAAAGCAAUGAGCAGUACAAAGUUCUUUCUUUUAGGCUACAUGAGGUGUAAAGGUCUAGACCACCUCACAAUCUCACAGGCAUGUUGAGUGCCUCUAUACCAUACAUACUGGAUUAGUGCCAGGAAGACACAUUAGGUUGACCAAAAAGUUUGGCGUUUCAGGAACAUGCUUUUAGAAGCAAGCUUCAGUAAUCACAAACCAUCUAAAUUAUGUUCAAUAUGCUCACACCAAUAACAAAAAUGAUGCACUUGGGCAAAAGUACAAUAGAAUUUUUGGAGUAGUCAAACAAAGACAACCACUAAUCAUAUAUGAGGGCAUACGACAUUUGAUGGGCAAAAGGUGAACACACUCAUGGCUAUUGUGAUGCGGCUAUCCAAUAGAAGAAUAUUCUCUAUUACAACUUGGUUAUCAACUUUUCAUGAGUAACAAUUCCUCCAUGUAUUUGUAUUUUGGUAUCAACUGACUAAACAAAAUCUUUAUUGCUAUUUUUUUAUAGAAAACGAGAUUUUAUUAAACAGCUAAAAAACAAUACAACACUUAGUGGACUAGGAAGUCCACCAUCAAAACGAAACAGCCCUGACAUAUGCCUCAACAUUCACCUCCAUCAUUAUAAAACAGAUCUGCAACUAUCUCACUGCAACUCCCCAAUCCAACAAAAUUACAUAAAAUGAAAGAUCCCAAAACCUUGGAGAGAGAGAAGCCAUAAGAAUGCCCAAUUCUUUCCCAAGAAUUCUCUUGUAAAUCCCCACUCUAAUUUUCAAAGGUUGCAAACUUGAAAUUAACAUAGAAGGUAACUGGCUUCAGAGUCAACUAGGAUAAUACUGGGCAUAUAUGCAGAGAGUAGGCAUAGUAGCAACUUUCAGGGUAUGGAAUAAUACAAAAGGAAAGGGAAGACCACAGAAUUCUCUCAGUCAUCUUAACUUGAUUUGGUACUAAGAAUAAGUUAUGUAUACACUUCCCACUGGCCCAUCUGUACGUUAAUAUAGAAAUAGAUUAUAUCCUGGCAACAAGGAAGUGAAAUACUCCUAUUUUUAUAUCAAUAUUGGGCACAAAUUAAGAGUUCAUCAAUAUAAUUUUACCUCAAUUGUAACCAACUGUGCAUAUAAGUUUACCUGAAUUGUUUGUCUGUGCUGCUUGUAUAUAUUGAUCUGUACAGUUGCUUUCUUCAACAAAGGGUCACUACUUUUCUGUACAUCAUAAUCUAUAUGUUCCUGCAAACAUAGUUUACAACUGUAAGCUCAAUAACUAGUGCACUGUUCGAAGUACAUGAUUGAAAAAUGAAGAAAACGGAGUGACCUUAUAACAAUUAAUGAAAGAUAAAAUGUAGUUCACAGAAUAAAACAUUCAAACACCACCAUCUUGAUAGUUAAACAAUUUCACUGUAAAAGCUAUUAAACUUAGCAGGAAAAAAAAUUUAAACUUUAUCUAACAUUUGAAUCUACAAUUUUCAAUUAGCAACUCUUGUCACAAAUGUUUAUUAGUGGGGUACGUUCUAAGAUAUUGUUAUUUGCUAAUUGUCGAGGAUUAUUUGGGAGUUAAAUCUCACAAGAAGGCGUAAAGAUCACAUUAGAAUUAGAUAUUUUACUAGGAAGCUAAAGAUCACAUUAGAACCACCCGCAGGAAUACAAAAAAACGACAUACCUUAUAGUCCAGUUGAUCAAAACCCUUGCAAACAAAUUCGAACAAGGUUCUUAAGUUCUCAGGGCUGGGUGCAGUUACAAAUAUAUUUGAAUACCUGUGAAGAUAUAUUUGUAUCGUCAAAACAUAGUACAUGAAUAUGAGUGUAGACAGCUACACAUACACCAAAACAGUUUUAAUACAUUGUAAAAGGCAUACUACCCUGCAGCAAUAGCUCCGGAAAUUGCCAAACCAAGUGCAGCCGAUUUUCCACGGCCUCGAGCAGCAAGCAAGGCAACAGUACUUCGGAGUGUCUUGUCCAAGAUUGCAUCAAGAAAUGUAGCAACAGCAUUUCCCUGUUGAAACAUUUACCAACUCAAACUAUGAGUCAUAUUAGUAAAUCACACAUGAUAGAAAAACUCAAAACUAAUACAAAUCAGAGAGAGUGCCUACCUGGUCCAACGUACAACAUUUCUUUAUUAAAGGGCCAACAGGAAAGGCAUCACUCAGCUGCUCUUUUAGAUCCUUCAGUUCCCUUUGUGACUCUGAUAUCCCUUCAGAGUCCUUCAAUCAUGAUCAGAAAACAAGAAAAAAGUUAUCAAAGUUAUCAAAGCUUCACAAACUCCUAGAAAGUAUCCUAAUAACCAUUCGGUAUACACACACUUGAAAAAUUACUUUUAUUCUUUUUGUCAUCUCGCAUAAGAUGCCACGAAAAUAAAGCAUUCCUCGAUUUAUCAGUUCCGUCCUAUAGAAAAGUUACAAGGCUAAAAGGUUACCUCUUUCACUGGAACUGGGGUAAUUGACCUCAUAUGAGAUGAAAUUGGUAAAAUAUUCAGCUCAUCAUCCAUUACUACACAUGAUUUGCAUGACGCAAGUGACAAUAAGAAACGCUCGUUAAAACGUCCAGUAGCCUUAGAAUGGGAUUCAGUUCGAAACCUAUCAUGAACAUCCUGAAAUCAAGAGGCGCUGAUAAGACUGUAUGGAGAUUUUUGCAUUUGAGAGAACGAGAAAGACAGUGUUGCAAAUAAAACAUGACAUAACGGAAUUGUUAUCAAAUAUAAUAUGUGGUGCAUGGCUAUUGCUAUAUUCGUUCUAAGUCCAUAAUGUAGUAAAACUAGAAACUACCUCAACAAGAAGAACAAAUAUUAUGAGGAAACCUAGUUGUUUUUUCUUCUUCUUUUUGGGGCUAGAACAUGAAAAGAAACAACUAGUCUACAUAGGCCCAACUGGGAAACUUAUAUGUUCAGCAGCAUUCUCUUAAAGAAAGUCAAGCAAUUGAAUCUACCAAAAGUCUUCUUGUAGCCAAGCACAUCAUUACGAAAAAAUUCGGAAACUUUUAACAUGGCUAGUUUUCAAGAUUUUGCGGUAUAUAAUAAGCAUAACCAUGCUGGCCUAAAAACUAAGCAUUAAUUGUGUGCAUGCGUAAGAGAAAGAGGUAUUAUUAUAUGCAUACCAUAACCAUGGUGUAGAGGUUGGUGAGUGAGGUUAGAGAAUGAAGCAACAAUAUGACUAGUCCACCUCCCUCCACUGUCUCUAUCGUUCUUGCUAGUAGAUUUGGAGUCAAGGCCUCAAAAUCCUAAUGCAGGAGAUCAAACUUAGUCAUAAAACUUAAAUCAAUUAUACAAGGGGUCUUGGCCAAACCAGUAAAUUUGUAAGUUUCAAGUUACCUGAAGUAUACACAUUCCAAAGGUAUUACCAAGAACUCUUUCUGAAUCCUUGUACAAGCAAUAAGUCAAUCCCCCACUUUCAACAAAAAGUGAGAAAGGAUCAACCUUCUCGGGAUCAAGCAGCCCCCUCUGCAUCAUCUUUUUUACUUGCUUAGCACGUUUUUUCUUGUGACUGCAUCAUGAAGUAGUCAAACGCAACGAAUCAAUAUAUUUUAAAAACGAAAUUCCGCCUUGCCUUAUAAUAAGGUGAAGAAUGGAAGGUAGAAGAAAUCAACCUGCUGAGCUCGAGCUUGUCCUUGUAGCACCACAACACAGUCGGGCGCGAUUUCUUUACUUCAUUGCUUAGCAUAUAAUGAAGAUUCACAAUCUGAAGACCAUAUAAAACUCCAUAUUAGCCAUUUUCCGUUAGUUUUCGAUAGAUUUUCGAUGAUAUUUCUUACCUUGUUUGAGGUUUUUAGUGUUACUCGGUGAGUAUUGCAGGUGAAAACAAGAAACAGUAAAACUGGUAAAAUUUUCUACCCAAUUCAAUUUAAAUCAUUGUUAUAACUCCUCAAAUUGAAUAGGAAUAGCAAAUAGGGAAUGGGAUAGGAAAGGCAGAAGAAAUUAGGAGUACCUGGUCACGGGAUUUGUCGCCGACGAUGACGAACAUGGAGCGGUGCCGGUUUUUGACGCCAUUGCUUAUUAGGGUUCGGAUUCGUUCGUCCACCUUCUUCCUCAUUCUCUCUCUCUCUUCUCUCUCUGUGCAAUUAGGUUUAGGGUUUAUACCAUAGGGCAGUUGUCGUCGUCGGGCAGGGUUUAAGCCGAACUAGUGAGAGAGAGACUAGACAUCGCGGAGAGAUAUUGAGUUCAUCUCAACCGUUGAUUGGCUAUCUGAUGGCUGUUAUCAAAGCUGACAUAAAAAUGAAAACUCAACACGUGGCCAAGUAUUUUUUUUCUCUCUUUUUUGGCUUAUUUAUUGAUUUGCCCCAGAAAUUAUUUUUUUUGUCUUACUCUAGGUCAUGAAACAGAAUUUAUCUUACUUUAUCUUCUAAAACUACCAAAAUCGAGUCAUUUCACCCAUGUUUUGUCAAUUCUAUCUCAUAAACGUUAAAUAAAAGGGAGUCUAAACAUUUCAUACCAUGCUAGCAAAGAUGAGCCACUGUUGUUGGUGAGGUACGAAAUUUUCAAACUUUCCUAAACCUUUAAAACUUAAAAGGUAUCUUGAAUAUGAACGUAAAUGAGGUAAAGUUGCUCAAUUUUGGCAAUUUAUGAAGGGUAAAAUGAGACAAAUUCAAUUUAAGGCUAAAGUGAGAGUAAAUGGCAGUUUCAUGAGAUAUAUCAAUAAAUAAAUCUUUUCUAGAAUACAACUAAAUUAUGUACUCACGGUAAAAGAUAAAUUAAUAUCGAACUUGUCAUUGACGAUAUCUAAACAUAAAACCUUUCAAGUUUUUACCUAUAAGAAUAAAUUUGGUAUAGUAAUUUCUUUUCUAAUUUAAAGUUUCCCAUAGAGUUAUGACGAAUUUGAUACCAAAUUAGGCUGUCAUUGUGUGGCAUAGCCGAAUUCCUCCUCCCUUACUUUAAAAAUAACGAUGUACUCAAAAAAAGUUUCCCAUAGAGUUAAAAUGAUCUUUAGUUGCUUGCUGAGACAACCCAUAUGUAUAAUAAGACAUUGAAAAAGGUGCCUCUGUCAUUUACACUCACACGAUCGAAUAAGUAGCUCCGACAGUUGCAUCAUAAAAUUAAGGGGUUUUCCGAGAUUGUAGUAAGGUUGACGAUUAAAGUUUGGGAAAUUUUCAGGUUAAGGAAUCAAGGGAUCACAUUUUCAAGUUUCGUAGGCAUUCUCUUUCCUUUGGAAUGGUGUUGGAAUCCGUCCUGAAGUUGCCCAUUCCUUUGCUCUUGAUUUUCAGAGUUGGAUAGCUAUAAACCUUAGGACACAUUGUACCACCAUACAUGGUUUACCUUGGAACCUUAUCUUUAAUUCAACUCUCUGGCAUUGCUGGAAAUGGAGGAAUAACUUUGUCUUCAAUGAUGGCCAACAACCGCUUGACUCACCCCAGAAUUUCAUUUUUCAAUUUGCAAGGGAAUGGUGUGAUGCGAACAAGUGUUCUUCUAGUAAGCCUCCUAGACAAAAUCAUCUCAAUCCAUUGGAUUCGUUUGCCAAUUGGUAUACAAAAUCAAUACAGAUGGGAGUUGUAAAGACCCAUUUAGCCACAUAAGUGCUGGAGGUUUGCUUCGUAAUUCUGAAGGGAAAUGGAUUAAGGGAUUUGCUGCUAAUUUGGGCAGAGGAACCAUCAUGGAAGGUGAGCUUUAAGGGUGGUUUCAUGGGACUUUCUAUAGGUUGGGAUGAGAGUUGCAAGGAAGUGAUUAUUGAAUGUGAUUCUUAUGCUGCUGUUACUUUGAUCCAACAACCUAUUUUAGUUCCCACUCUACAAUCUCAUUAUUGACUGCAAAGAAGCCAUUGAAAGAAAUUGAAGAUGUGAAGUUACUCAUAUCUAUAGAGAAAAUAAUGUCUUAGCUAAUCACACGUCUGACUUAGGUCAUGGGUUAUCACUUGGUCUUCAUGUUUUUGCUUCUCCUUCUACCAUUGCUACUAAUUUUAUAGUUUCUAAUACUAUUGGCAGGGCCCUCCCUAGAGCUGUUUUUUAGUAGCUUUUUUGUUUUGCUUGUUGGGCUUUGCCCUCUUCUGUACCCAAAAAAAAAAAAAAAAAAAAAAAUAUUGGGAAAUUUAUUUGGACCCAACUUUUUUAUCUCUACACCCAAAUAAUAUUUUCUCUUAUCUAAUCUUCCAAAUUUGUCCUUAAAUAACAAACAUUGAAGUUUUCUUUGUAUCUCUACACCCAAACCCCACGAUCCACCACUGUAGGGCGCUCCAUUAUUUCCGACAAACCCAACUCAAACGCCAGCAACACUAAAAUCGACAAAUCAAGACUGGAGAACAAAUGGUGUAGGAGUCCUAAUGUGAAUAUUAAAGCAAACUUAAGUUGCAAAACCCUUUUUUAUUUCAAUCGAUGAAAGGACCUUGGGUUAUGAACAUAAGGAACCUAUUAGGGUUUAGAGGUCCCCUCCACAUCAUAUGCAUAAGCCCUUUUUCUUCAUUCAUUAAUUUACGGAAGGGAAAAUUAAUACUAUUAUUCUCAUAAAAAGUGGGAAUACCAAGGAAAGAGAUCCUCUCCACACCAUAUAUUUUUCUUUUCUGAGUAGUUAUAUCCAAUGGAGAGAGGAAAACAAGAGCACCAAUGGUCGCAGGUUCACCGGAGAAAAUGAAGGUGCAGUGGUGAUGUGAGUUUAGGGUUAUUGGGUGUAAAGAUAACAACUUUAAUAUUUAUUUUCUCAUUUUUAUUUAUUUAAGGGCAAAUUUGAAAGUUUAGUAGAGAAAAUUUGUUAGUUGGGUGUAGAGAUAAAAAGGUUGGGUCCAACAAAAUUUCUCAUAAAGUUUAAUCACGCGAUUAAGUUCUUGUGCAAUGAGUAAAUUGUAGCAAUGACCCAUCAACUAAAAAUCCAUUAUUAUUGAUCCCUCAACUCAUCAAAAUAUGUAGUUAUGGUCAUUUUCGUCAACUUUGUAAGAAUUUUGUCAAAAUAAAUUAUGUUGGAAGGACCAUUGUUACAAUUAAGGUCCUUCAACUCAUCAAAACAUGUAGCUAUGGUCAUUUUCGUCAACUUUGUCAAAAUGAGUUAUGUUGGCAUGACCAUUAUUGCAAUUGGGUUAAAGUUGAGGAAUCAUUGCUCCAAUUGGGUUAAAGUUGAGGGAUCAUUUCUCUAGUUAGAUUAAAGUUGGGGGACCAAUGAUAAUUAAGUUUUAGUUAAGGGAUCAUAGUUGCACGUUUUGAUGAGUUGAGAGAUCAAUGAUAAUGAAUUUUUAGUUAAUGGAUCAUUACUCCAAUUGAGUUAAAAAUAAAGGACCAUUGCUACAAUUUACUCUUGUGCAAUAGAAGAUUAAUUUGGCCGAACAACCUGAUUAAGGUGCCUACUUUCUCUUUAAUUCAUUGGUAUCAUUUAUUUUCCCUUAAGCUGAAUUAUGCUCAAUUUAUGUAUCAAUAUUGUAAAGUUGUCUUUGUUAGAGUAAUUUGGACAAUAUAAAUUGAAAAUUAUUUGUGUAUAUGGAAAAGAUUAACCUCAGGGGUCACUUCGCCGGACUCCGUAGCAAUCUCCACCACUCCAAUCGUAAUGGUGAGUAAAUCACUUGUGUUUGUUUCCAUUUUUUCAAUUGGAAAUUGGGGGUUUUGAAUUCAUAUUUUGUCAAUUGGUUUUGUGAGCACUGAGAAUACACUACGAGCUUGUGUGUGUGUACAAUAUGUUGGAUUUGAUCUUUAUAAAGAAUGCGAGAAAUUGGGGUUAGGAAAGAGAAGAAAAGGAAACAGAACUCGAACUUCGAUCUUCAUUCUUGUUACUAAAGGAGAAAACCGAAUUUGAACCGGUUCAUACGUAAUCGAACCGAAUUUGUAUAGUUCGGUUCACCCCUUAGUACCGAACCGUACCAUACCAAAAAAAAUUUCUUGAGUUUGGUUUUGAUACAUCCCUCAUACUGUACCAUACCAAAUCGUGGCCAGACCUACUGAAUACAAAACUUAUAUCUGGGUCGUAAGUCGUAAGGCCUCCAAAAAAAAAGUUCAUAUUAUUCAUACCAAUCGGACAAAUCCCGCACCCAAAAACAAUGGCUAGAUAGAAAGUUCAAUUAUAGAUUAGGUAAUCUAUCCUUUUCAACUUAAAUGCACAUUCAUGAUGGUUAUGCAAAUCAUAUUAUGUUAACAAAUGCAACAAUUAAUUAUAUUUAUCCAUUUGGAAUGAUAUAUAUUUUCAAAGAUGGAAUUACAGACCCCGUUGACGUUGAGGCCAUUGCAUGAGAGAAUUUUAGAUGAUUUUCAAUUAAUUUAUAUUAUUGUUGUGAUAACCAUAAUAAUUAUUUUCUAAAUGUAAAACUAUAUUAAUGAAAUUUUCUUUGUCGGUCAAAAGAAGAUGAAAAGAUAUCUUUAUCUUCUAUCACAACAAAAAAAUUAAGGAUAUUAAUGUAAUAGGCUAAUAGCGAUGGGGUGAAGAAAUGGAACUAUCCUAAAUAGGCAGUUGCUGGUUAUAUUGGAUCAGGUGGUCUGAAUGAUUGGAUAAUUAGCAAAUAAAAAGGUUCCAUUUUUCAUGGACCCUCAAGUGGAAAUAUGGGAUAAAAGAUGGCAUAUACCAUUUUAUCCAUUUGUGAUUGUACAUUUUGAUGGUUGUGAUUUCACCCGAUGGCGCGGCAAGUGUGGAUUGGGAUAAGGAUGGUUUUGGUCUAUCAUCAAAGAUGGUUUGAUGUUCACGACUGGAUUUUACAACGCAUCCAAGUGCAUGGGUUCUAUAAAUACAGAGUUGCGCACAAUAAAAAAGUACAAAGGACCUUCAAACCUUUCACACACUCUGAGAAACUCCUGAUUCUCCCAACUUCGUCAACACAUCUUCAAUUUGGAUUAACAUCACUGUUUGUCAGUGAGGAGUCCUUAGUCUUCUCGUCUCAUUAGCCCUCUAGGUGAAGUGAGGUGUUACUGAAUUACUUGAGUAUUCAGCACAUUGAAAGUCGAACCUUAUUUGAACUUCACAGUAGUUAGCAAUCUUAUCUUCAGGUUUUAGAACCCAAUGCCAAGACAUAUUCCUUCCUCGACAGUGAUGGUUUGUACACAAAAGUUGGUUUGUACACAUAAGUCAGUAUUGUGUUUGACACACCAUCCCAUUCAUUCUACUAGCCCACAAACGCGUGGACUCGUCCAAAAUUACCCCACUCUCGGCCCGUUCACUUGCCCACUCGUCCCACGCGGCCCGUGAGUCUUCAGUGCCUGAUAGGGGGGCCUACUGUUAGGGCCGUUGUUGGCCACAACCCAGAGCCCAACGAUUUUUUUUUGCAUCCCACGACUGGCAUUUUUGGACCGUUGGUUGAUCCAACGGUCCAGAUUCAAAUUUUGUUUUUUUAAAUGUUAUUUUAAAAUACAUUGAAUCCAACGGCUGAGAUCGAAUAUAAUCAAAUCUAACGGUAAAAUAAAAAAAGAUAAAAAAAGAUAUAACAGUCCAAAUUUAAAUCCAACAGCUAAAAUAAUUUUAAAAAAAAUUAUUUAACUCAAAAUUCACCCAAAAACUCUAUAAAUACCUUUGUAUUUGUUCAAACAUCCACACAAAACUCAAUUUUCUCCCACAAUUCUUCCAUUUUUUCUUUCUACCAUUUCUUUCCAUUUCCAAAUUGUUCAACACGAUCCUUGAAUUGGCCAUCCCAAGCAGUAAGACAAUUCUUCCACUCCCAAAGCAUACAAUCGAGACUUCCUAUCAUGUCAGGAAAGCCUAUUUUGUCUGCUUUGAGUAGAAUGUGACGACAUGUCCCGAAUUAUUAUAUAUUUUUCUCCCUAAGUGUGUAAAGUGACGGUAAUGCCCUCGUGAUUUAGUGACGUGGAUGUACAUAUGUAGUUUUAAAUUAUUAUUUCUAUUGUCGUAGUUAAAUUGUACUCGACGCCAUGAGUGUGUUGAUGUGACCUAGGGCUAAAACAAAUUCGUAACGAAGAAGUUACGAACAGACGAGUGUGUAAAUGCGUAGAAAUAUAUUUUUAUGGGUUGGCUAUACCUUACCCACCAAUCACCUUAAUUCCUGAUUUCUUUGGCCUAAUUGAAUUAAAAAUAUCUCUCAUUUUUCCUUCUGCCCAAUCACGCACAUACACACCAUCACUCUCUCUCUUCUCUCGGACCUUCUUCUUCUUUCUUCUCAUUCCGUACACCCGAGCCACCCUUACCUCACAAUCAUCAUCAAAACAUUAUGGAUCGAAUUGGAAAUCACUACCAUCGCAGUCACCUCGAUCCCACGAACUCAUUGAUACCCUUAGGUCGAGGAAUAGACGUCGGGAAUUCGAGAACUCGGGAGCUCUGGCGAGGUGUAUUUUUCUACUUUGUGAUCGUGGUCUUUUUCUAUGGUUUAAAGGCUUGAGGUGGGUCCUAAUCAACUUUAUAGGGACCCUAGAUUAGUUUUGGAGCAGUUUGAACGUUGGAAUAGGUGAGAACAUGGAGUUGCAGGUUGGCCGGUUGAUCCAAGCCUUACUCCGACCACUUUCUGUCGGUUUUAGAACCUCAAGUAGGUAAGAUUGUAUUCUUCUAGUUGAGAGUUUCAAAUCCAUAUAAAAUUCAUGGAAUUUGGUUGAAAAAUGAUGAAGAUAUUAAAGUUUUAAGAUUUUUCCAAAAAUCAGCGACACAAACGGCGCCCGACGGCCAGCGAUGGAUUCCGACAAAGCCAUCGGAGAAGGAGGAGAAUAUUAUGUCUAACUUUGACAGAAUAUACUAACAGCGUCAGGUAACUCUAUUAGUUUUUAAACAAAAUAUUCUACUAUUUAAUGAAAUAUUCCCUAACGCCGUUAGGGAUUCCGUGCCUGCACGUGCCGGCUUAUGAGGGCGCGUGAGACGUCAGGAAAUUAAUCUAAAAAUAUUGGGGUGUUCGAGUUGUUGAGUAGGUCAUGUUGGUAUAUUCAAACACCCUAUUUGAGCAACGUAUGAGAAGUUAUUCCUAGGGUUUGUGUAUGUGCCUUAAAAUUAAUGUAAAAUUAGUUAUUUCGCAUAUAGGUGAGACUUACCCGGAGGACAAACGUGGUCAAACGAGACUUGGGGGCUACGAUCCUACUACUUACCAGUGAGCGGGCUUUUUUUUUCUAUAUAUAUGUAAAUAUGCUUAUGAAUCCCAUAAACUACUUUAAAUGAACGUAUGUUUUAAAUGCCAUGUCGUGUGCAUUAUGUGUUAGUAUUGCAUUAGUAUAGCUAUGCAUAGUAUUGGAUGAGACUGCGCAGACUCAGGUAAGUUUCAGGUGAGUACAUCAUGAUGGUAUUGGGUGCGUGUGUGUGGUUAUACGUUGAUGCAUUUUGAGCUUAUUAUCCUGCACAUUGGUGUUAGUGUUCUCGCCCAUGGCCAGGGCAUAGUUUUUCACAUGAUGUUCACCUCCUGGGCCGCACGCUCACUUUGGAUCCAAGUUUGGUGCACAGCCAUAUUGCACAGACCACAAUAGGUGGUUCCGACUCGUAGGUGACCUGCAAUUAUUUGCACAGCCUUCACGUGAUCGUAGCACUUAAGCGUACUUAUCUACACCCAGCCCUGUUGUACAGACCACAAUAGGUGGUUCCGACUUAUGUGCAUGCAUACUUGAUGAGCUAUAGAUUCAAUUGUACAGGUUACAUUAGGUGACUCCGGUUGGCAUACUAUUUUAGGUUGAUUCGUAUCACCUGGCUUACACAUUUUAUGGUUGAACAUCUUGACAUGGCAUACCUCUGUUUUCACUGCUCUAAGCAUUAUCCUUAUGUACCUAGUUGUUAUUAUUUUCUGGAAAAUUAUAUGGGUUUACAGUGAGGGGUUAGUAUGUUCAUAAAGACAACUGUGUUUUCAAAAACUUUGUUUUUGCCUACUCACAUUUUUUGUUUUGCACCCUUUCAGGUUCUAGGUAGUUGGUCAUCCUUGGUGGCUCACGAGGACUUUCACGGCGGUUCUGACAUCUCUGUAAAUAAGUAGGGAUUUUUUUCCCUGUUUGUAUAAUUAGUACUUAGUUGGUUCGAUUGCACUUUCGUUUACCCAUGCUCUGAUAUUUGUAUAACUUGCUUGGUCAUCUUUACUCACUUAUAUUAUCUUAGUUUAGAUAAGUUUGGUUUUAGGUUUUUAUUUAUUCGCAUUUCUUUUAUUAUUACUUCUGUUGCGCAUUUUGGCUACGUUACUCUUACGUGACGGGCAUCAUGUUUCGACUUCGGUUGGGGUGUGUCAUAAAAGCCUCUUCAAGUCUUCAUGAUUUGGCUUGCAGAGAUAUGUGGCUCCAUAUGUGGCCUGAAUUGCCCCACAGAAGCGCUCCAGGUUUUUAAUAGCAGUAGUCUCCGCAAGUCGGCAAUACUCAUCAGUUGAGUUUGCAGAGCACUCAUUAGCUAGCAUCCGAAAUGCAGAUGUGAGCUUCUGAUGAGGUGAUAGACUUUGUCGGCCUACGACAUUUAUCUUCCUUGCAAAGUAGUGGUCAUGAUUGACAACUGUGUUCAAGAUGCUUUCAAAAAUCUCUCUCCUCAUUCGAAACCGUCUCCGAAAAUCAUGAGCAGGAAAUCUCGGACGCUCAAUAAAAUAAUAUUUCAUCAUUCGGUCAUGACACUCUUCUCUAUCACGUUGCACAAAUGAACGCUUCGUGACAUAACCACAAUAGCUAGAUUCGACAUGGUGCUCAUAUUGCAUAAGCGAGUUUGGAAGUUUAGCUUAUGCGUUGAUCAUUUUUGAAUCCUCAAUGUCAAGGCUUGCUUGGUAUUAUGUCAUUUGCAUUGCCCUGCUACACCUUCUUCUAUCAUCCAUUGUUGAUAUAUUGAGGAUUUUUAUGAAACAAAAACACUUUGAAAGUUGAAAGAUUAGUGAAUAUAGGGAAUGAUUGAAGGUUGAAAGAUUGUGUGACCAACUGAUAUUGAACAUGUGUUUAUAUAGAGGAUGAUUGAUGAAAGUUGAAAGUUUGGUGAAAGUUGAACGGUUGGUGAAAGUUGAAGAUUUGUGAAAGUUAAAGACUUGCUUUGUGGAAAGAUUUAGUGAUUUUUUCAAUAUUUAUUGGAAUUUAAAUAUUUUUAUAUUAAAAUGUUCAUAAAAUUAAUUUACCAUAGGCUACAUAAUUUUUUUUAAAAGUUAAUUUAAGAAAAAAAAUUAGCCUAAGUUCAUUCUUUAAUAAUCCCGAACUAAAAUUUUAGGCUAGGGUUGGAGCAGAAAAACUGUUUCUGUGUUAAAAGCUAAAUUUUUUAGAUUAAAAAUUUUAAAUUUUAACCCAAAGGUUGGAGAUGAUUUAAGAAUGGAUAAACUUAACCAAGAAAAGAAGAAAAAAGAUGAAGGGCAAAUAAGUGAGAAGCAACAUGACACGACACACGGACGACCAUAGCAAUAAAGCGUGCGUCCUCACGUCCAUUGAAUAUAUAGAUGGGAGCUACAACAUCGUGUUUCACGUGCAUGUGUAUUAUACAUAAAGGCAUAUACAGUGUUAGCUUAUAUAUUAUAAAGUUUGUAGGCCACUUACCCAAUUUGGCAUAUGUUUUAUCUUUUUACGUGAAUAACCAAUGUGUUAUGAUGAUACAAGUCUCUUAACAUAUCCGGAGUUAGAAAUAUCAUAAGACAGUGUUGCGAUCAUAUUGAAAUUAAUUGACAGUUUGUAUUAUAUAUUUGAUUAUUCUUUAUUAACUUAAGGAGACAGCAUACUUAGACCUAAUUUAGUCACAUUCUCCAACCGAAAAUAAAGCGGUGUAGUAUUCAUACACUUUUUUUUAUUUCUUACACAGUCUUAAUUAAUUUCUAUUGUUUGAUCUUCUUCAAUUCAUUCGAUCUGACGACCGAAAAUUAAGAUGGUGUGUGGACGAGUAAAUUAUAACAAUGGUCCCUCAACUUUAAUCAAAUUGGAGCAAGGGUGCUCAACUAAAAAUCCAUUACCAUUGGUUCCUCAACUCAUCAAAAUGUGUAGCUAUGGUCAUUUUCGUCAACUUCGUUACAAUUUUGUCAAAAUAAGUUAUAUUGGAAUGACUAUUGCUACAAUUGGGGUCCCUCAACUCAUCAAAACGUGUAGCUAUGGUCAUUUUCAUCAAUUUCGUUAGAAUUUUAUCAAAAUGAGUUUUGUUGGAAUGACCAUUGCUACAAUUGAAUUAAAGUUGAGGGACUAUUAUUUCAAUUGAGUUAAAGUUGAAAGAUCAUUUCUUCAGUUGUAUUAAAGUUGAAGGAUCAAUGGUAAUGAAUUUUUAGUUGAGGGGACUAUAGCUGCACGUUUUAAUGAGUUGAGAGAACAAUAAUAAUGAAUUUUUAGUUGAAAAACUAUUACUUCAAUUGAGUUAAAAUUAAGAAACAAUUGCUACAAUUUUUUUAUAUGGAAAGUGGAUGAUGUGAAUAGCACAUCCAAAAAUAAAAGGGAACUUUAACGAAAAGCACCCGGUACUGUUCACUUUAACGAAAAACCACAUUUUUACACUAAAAAGUCAAUCCUGGUACUAUUCACUUUACCCUUUAUUUUGUCCUUAUCAUUAAAACUCAAAGUUUUCAAGCCCUUUUCAUUAGUUUUCCUAAAAUAAAAUGCACCACAAUUUGGUAGGAUCUUCCUGUUGAGAGUAAUAAAUUAAUAAUUGCCGAAAUAUUGGAUAAUUUGUCGGCCACAACGCUAUGAGGGAGUAUCUGGGGAUGAAUAUACUCUUGCCGACAGAUGCCCAAAUUCCAACUGCCAUUCAAAUGAGCCCUCCACCACCACCGGCCAUAAUAAAUUCUCUUUCUUUAGUGAAGAAGAAAAAGAGGUACUUGGCCCUCACCUCAACUUUUUGAGAAAGAACAAGUUUAUCGCUAUCAGAAUGUUUCGGUCAAUUAUAUAAGUUAUGUGUAAAUUUUUCUUUAGAUAACAUUACAUUAUUAUAUUUAAAAUGUUCCGUAACGAUAAAUUUGUUUCAUACAAAUUAUUCUCCAACUUCUUGGAUUUUUCUCCUUUUUCCCGAAAACCAGCUUAUAUUAGUGUUCAUCCUCUGUCAAUAUCACUCGCCCACAACUAUUCAACUAACUUUUAAUAAUUUGACAACGUGUCAUAUUUUUGUGCAAAGCGGGCCCAUUUUUGUGGGUGAUAUAAUAAUGGCGUAUGUGGUUUGUCAAGACAUAUACUCAUUUAUCCAUUAGCAGUUAGGUAAGUCACCUCACUCACCCACAGCCUAACACAUCAACAAAUAUUGCUUACAAAUUCUAGAAAAUUCGACCAAGAAAAAAAACCAAAUGCUCGCAAAUUAAAAUUGUGUAACAUGAUUAGUUUUUUAUCCAUUAGUAUUAAUUUUACGUUGGAAGAAAUUCCAAAUUUAUUCUUGUAAAGAGGGAUAUGAAAAUACUUUGUAUGUCUAUCACCAAAAUCUUCGAAUGUUUGAAUGGUUGAUUUUCAAGUCUCACACAAUUGGAUUUAGUUCAAGUGAGAAAGAAAUACACUCAAACUAUUAGAUAUGAGGAAUGAAAAUACACUACAAAAUCUUGUGAACAUUUCUAAUAUUCUCUUCUAUCUACUUUUUGUGAACCAAGUUUUUAUUUGUUUUUUUUUUUAACAAAAGAUAUUUUUUAUACUAGGGAAAUAAGGUGGGUUUAGCCUCAUAAUGGGCUAACAUAAUCUAGUUCAAACUUGCAUUUGGUGAGAAUCGAACCUAAAAUCUCUCACUUACAAGUGAAGAGGAAUACCAUUAGAAGUGUCAUGAAAUUAGCAGUCUUAUAUGUAAAAAAUUGAUUGACUAAAUGCUGUGUUAAAAAACAAGAUUAAUACUUGCAUCUCCCCACUUGGAAAAUGCAAAUAUUUCAUUUCUUGCAAAUAACGUAUAUCAUGCGUUCUGUUCAAUCGCAUAUUCAAAAAUGUUAAAAACAAGAUUAAUAUUUCUAUCUCCCCACUUGGAAAAUGCAGUAUUUCAUUUUUUACGAAUAACGUAUAUCCUGUGUUCCGUCCAAUCGCGUAUUAAAAAAAUGUGUGAAGUUUGGAUUAACUACACUCUUUGAGAAUUUCCUUAAAUAACCACUUUUUGAAAAUUUCUUAUAGGACUAAGUGAGUCUCCGCUGAGAAUUUCCUUAACUAACACAACACUACUUGAGUGAUAAUUUGUUAUAUCUUGAAUAGAGAAUAAAUCAGUUCCCUACUUUUGAAGGUACUAUUAACUUACACUAUAUUUGAAUGAGAACAAUAAACUUAGAAUUUAGAUGAAGGAAAUAAAACAGUUUCCUACUUUUGAAGGUACUACUCGAGUGAUAAUUUGUUAUAUCUUGAUAACGUGUCAUAUUUUUUUGCUAAGCGGACCCAUUUUUGUGGGGUGGUAUAAUAAUGGCGUUUGUUGUUUGUCAAGGGCAUAUACCCAUUUAUCCAUUAGCAGUUAGGUCACCUCACUCACCCACAACCUAGUACAUCAACAAAUAUUGCUUACAAAUUCUAGAAAAUUCAACCAAGAGAAAGAAAACCAAAUGCUCGCAAAUUAAUCUGUGUAACAUUAGUUUUUAUCCAUUAGUAUUUAUUUUACAUUGGAAGAAAUUCCAAAUUUAAUCUCGUAAAGAGGGAUAUGAAAAUACUUUGUAUAUCUAUUAUCAAAAUCUUUGAAUGUUUGAAUGAUUGAUCAUCAAGUCUCACACGAUUGAAUUUAGUUCAAGUGAGGAAGAAAUACACACAAACUAUUAUAUAUGAGGAUUGAAAAAUACACUACAAAAUCUUGUGAUAACAUUUCUAAUAUUCCUUUCUAUCUACAUUUUGUGAUAAGUUUUUUUUUUCCUUUUUUGAACAAACUAUAUUUAUCUACAUUAAGGGAGAGGAGGUGAUCUUAGCCUCACAAUGGGCUAGCAUAAUGUGGUUCAAAUUCGCCUUUGGCGAUAAUCGAACCUAAAACUUAUCAUUUACAAGUAAAUAGGAAUACCACUAGAUGGAUCAUGAAAUUAGCAGUCUUAUAGGUAAAAAAAAAUUGAUCGACUAAAUGAUGUGUUAAAAAACAAGAUUAAUACUUGCAUCUCUCCACUUGAAAAAUGUAGAUAUUUCUGUGAACACGGAAAAUUCCUGAAACGAAAGAGACAAGAACAACGUGCACAAAAUAAUAUUUUGGUGUUAAUGGAUUUGUUGGGUUACGAUCUCUUUUAACUUGAUCCUCUGAUUCGAUCUCCGUAAGGUGUUGAUUUAUGGAUGUUUCGUUGAUCCAAGGGCUGUUGAGGCUUGAUCUUAGAUGAACUGUUGGAAGUUUCUUCAAGGGGCCGUGGGCUUGAUCUUUGAAGGUGGAUUUGAGCGGAUCUUCAAGGAGCCGUUGGGGCUUGAUCUUGAGGAUGAGUGUUUCUUCAAGGGCCGUUAAGGCUUGAUCUUGAAUAACGGUGAUGAACGGAUCUUCAAGGGCUUUUGGGCUUGAUCUUGAAGAACGGUUGGAUGUGUGGAUUUGUUGAUGUUGUUGAUCCAAGGGCCGUCGGAGCUUGAUCUUGGAAGAACGAUGAACGAAGAACGAAGAACACUUUCUUCAAAGGCCGUCGGGGCUUGAUCUUGAAUUGGUGAUUGUUGAUCCAAGGGCCGUCGGGGCUUGAUCUUGGAAGAACGAUGAACGAAGAACGAAGAACACUUUCUUCAAGGGCUGUCGGGGCUUGAUCUUGAAUUGGUGAUUGUUAAUCCAAGGGCCGUCGGGGCUUGAUCUUGAUUCUUCGGGAUGAACGGAUGAUGAACAAUGAACACUUUCUUCAAGGGCCGUCGGGGCUUGAUCUUGAAUUGGUGGAAGUUCUUCAAGGGCCUUUGGGGCUUGAUCUUGAAGGUGGAUGAUUGUUGAUCCAAGGGCCGUCGGGGCUUGAUCUUGGGAUGAACAGUUGUGUGGAUUUGUUGAACACUUUCUUCAAGGGCCGUCGAUGCUUGAUCUUGAAUUGGUGGAAGUUCUUCAAGGGCCGUUGGGGCUUGAUCUUGAAGGAGGAUUUGACGAAGAACGAAGAGGGCUUUCUUGAUCCUUCGGGAUUUGCUUGAAUUUGGGAGGUUGGAUGCUUGAAAGCUUUAGAGUUUCAAAGCUUCAAGGAUUUUGGAUGUGUGGGGAGUAUUCUCUUCCAUUUUGGGAGUAGAGAAAUGUAUUUGUGAAUUGGUUUUUGAUACCUUGAUGUAGAAGCCUAUUUAUAGGCUUUGAGAAUGAAUCACCACCACAAAAUAUUUUUUUUCUUUUCCAAGCACCAUUGCCUAAUUUCCCACUUAAUACAAUUUUAAACUUGAAGUGGUAAUUUUAUGGCCUAAUUUUCCACUUAAUAUCAUUUUAAACUUGAUAUGUGCAUGCUUUGUCAUUGCCCAAAAUGAGAAGAAAACCUUGUUUUGAUCUUCAAUGAAUUGAAAUGUGCUUGCCUUGUCAUUGCCCAAAAUGAGAAGAAAAACUUGUGUAAUCCUUCAAGGGUAUUUCUUUUUAUUUUGUUGAGUCGCACACCAUGUGUACAAUUUGUAUGACACGUGGCAUAUGCCAUGUACGCCUUGACACGUCAAAAUUUUAAUGCGUUGGUGAACAUUUAUUUCACCGCAAUUUCGGUGUCUACAAAUGCCCCCACUUCAAGGUGCGUCGUAUACAUGUGCUUGUCACGUGUAGGAGAUGCGUUUUGAAGUCCCUUACUGUAGAUGUCAAUCCAAUGGCCAUCGAGGCUUGAUCUUGAAUUGGGCUGGAGAUUUCUUCAAGGGCCGUUGAGGCUUGUUCUUGGACUUUGUUUGAAAUUUCUUCAAGGGCCAUCGAGGCUUGAUCUUGAAGGUUGAAAUUGGACCACAAGGAGCUUCAUGUGGUAGAUGAUCUUUGGCUUUGGUAGUGGAUGAAUCGGCACGUAUUUGUUUUUGCGCUUUGUUGACUUUCCACAGCUUUGAUCUUGAACUGGGUUGGAGGAUUUUUUGGAUUCCUCCAAUUGUUGAUUUUCCACAGUUUAUUCUUGAACUGGAUUUGAUUCAAAUAUGGUGGACGCUUGAUCUUGAAUCGGACUUGUGAUUUCCUCAAGGGCCGUCGAGGCUUGAUCUUGAAUUUGGCCGGAAACUUCUUCAAGGGCCGUUGAGGCUUGAUUCUUGAAGGUUGACUCGAACACAUGGCAAGCAGGCACGAGGUGAAGGUGACGACUUGUUGCUUUGUUCAAUCUUUCUAAUUCACACCUGAGCAGUUUGGUCAACGGUAUGAUCUUCAAGAUUGAUGGGCUCUUCUUCCAGUUGGUGAUUUGAUCUUUAAGGAUUUGAUUCAAGGGUGGUGAAACGGCACAUGCAGCCCACAACGCCUAGCAAGUCGACCCAAGAAUUUGAGGGUUAAAACGAGUCCUCCACCCAGAGUGAUUGCAAACCUGAUGAUAUGAGAUACUUUUGAUUUUGAAGAAGUAGCGGAUGAAUCGGCACGUGCUUUGUUGUGCUUGUCUCCACAUGCUUCAAUGUAUCAUUUUCCCUUGUCUUAUCUAUUCUUCUAGCAGAAUGUAGCAUCUUCUUAAGUUCUUCAACUCAGACUCCUUCUGCUGAGCUGACUGUGCAGGCUGCAUUAUUCUCUGCUUGUUUCUUUAGGCAGAUGUGGCAGCUUCUUGAGUUCCUCAGCUCGGACUCCUUCUGCUGAGCUGAUUGUGAAGACUGCAUUCUUAUCUGCUUGUUUCUUCUGUACGUUGUCUCCACAUGCUGCAAGGUAUCAUUUUCAAUUGCCUUAUUUGUUUUCCAGGCAAAUGUGGCAUCCGAGUUUGAGUGGAGGUUCUGGCAUAUUGUUUUCUUUAUCCUUGUCUUUGUAGGUAAGAACAAGGACAAAGGAAAGGACAGGGAGAACGCAUGAUAUGAUAUACUCUUGCUUUCUACCCUGGUGAUAUGAGAUACUUUUGCUUUGGUGUCAUUUGUUUGCAGAGGUACCCCAAGGAAUAAGAAACACUGAGUGACUCGAGAGGCUUUGUUGGGAAGGCAUUCUAGGAGAUGAAGAAAGGUUCUUGGAGAUGAAGAAAGGUUCUCGGAGAUGAAGAAAGGUUAUGUAUGUCUGCCUUGCUAUGGAGGGUAAAGGUGGACAGUUAUAGGAAAUUCUUUAGUACCUGUAGAGGUACUAUUCUUUUACUCGUGUCGGCAACCAAUGUGUGAUUGAUCAGUAUGGCUUCACGUGUUUUCUUCUUUAUCAGAAAUCUUCGACAAAUUGUCCGUAAUUUUCGUCAAGCUGAGUGUGCAUGUGACAGGUGUUGACGAGGCUGAAAAAGACUGGUGCCUCUUCGAUAUCUGGGAUCGGCGCUUCGACAAAUUGCCCGUGAUUUCCGCAAAGCUGAGUUUGCGCGUGACGGGUGCUGACGAGGCUGAAAAAGACUGGCGCCUCUUCGAUAUCUGGGAUUGGCGCUUUAACAAAUUGCCCAUGAUUUCUGCAAAGCUGAGUUUGCACGUGACGGGUGCUAACGCGUCUGGAAAAGCAAGAUGCUUCUCCGAUUUCUGAGCUUGCCUCUUUGAUUUUUGAAUUGGCCUCUUCGAAUUCUGAGCUCGCCUCUUCGAUCUUUGAAAUCCCAUCGAGUGUUGAUCUUUAUAGAGGCACGCAGUUCGUUUCAAAGCACACUUGAAUUUUCGCUUGUAGAAACUCCCUUCUUGCACUUCUAAGAUCUUGAUUUGUCCGACCUCUUCUUUCUUCAACACCUUUGAAAAUGUCUGGACCCUCCGACCGUCAUUUUGAUUUGAACCUUGGUGAAGAGGUAGUCCCGUCUUCUCCAGAUAACAUAUGACGCCCAUCUUUCAUAUCCCCUACUGGUCCUCUUACCGUUGGGGAUUCGGUGGUGAAGAAUGAUAUGACCGCUGCGGUGGUGGCCCGAAACCUUGUCACUCCCAGAGAUAACAGACUACUUUCCAAACGGUCUGAUGAGUUGGCUGUUAAGGAUUCUCUGGCUCUCAGUGUGCAGUGUGCAGGUUCUGUGUCUAAUAUGGCCCAACGCCUAUUUGCUCGAACCCGUCAAGUUGAAUCAUUGGCGGCUGAAGUGAUGAGUCUCAAACAGGAGAUAUUAGAGGGCUCAAGCAGAGAGAUAAACAGUUGCAUAAGCUCGCACAUAGCUAUGCGACAAACAUGAAGAGGAAGAUUAACCAGAUGCAGGAAUCUGAUGGUCAGAUUUUACUUGAUCAUCAGAGGUUUGUGGGUUUGUUCCAGCAGCAUUUGCCUUCGUCUUCUGGGGCUGUACCGCGUAAUGAAGCUCCAAAUGAUCAACCCUUGGCUCCUCUUCUUCCUGGAGUUCCGCCGAGUGGUGUGGCUUCAAACAGUCAACCUCCGACGCCUCUCAUUUCUGGAGCUCUGCUGAGUGGUGAGGUGGCACCUAAUCGUCCUUGAAGAUCCCCUCUUGUAAAUUUGAUUUGAUUUUUUUUUAAGUAUGUAUAAUGCAAAUUUAUGUAAAAUUUCCAGAAAAAAUAAAUAAAAACGGACUUUAUUUCUCUCAAUGCAUUUGUUUUGUUUUGUUUUUGUUUUUUUUGUUUUUUUGUUUUUGUUUUUUUUGUAAAUACAUAAUAACAUAUGUAUUUAUUUAUUUAUUCUUUUGUAAUAAAAUUGACUUUCUUUAAUAAAACUUUUAUAUUUUUCUUAUUUAUUUUGAUAUGACUGAACUCGAAAUUGAAUGUUCGAGCCGCCUACGUACCCUUCCAAAGAAGAGAUCAAGCCAUAACGUAGUUCAAAUGAGUGAUGAAUUUAAUAGUGAUUUUGAUGAUGAUUUUGCCGUACACAGUUUAUGCUCUUGUGGGCCAGGAGCUUUGGUGUUGCCUUUUAUGCUCGUGCAGACCAGGAGCGUUGAUGUCGCCUUUUAUGCUCGUGUGGGUCAGGAGCGUUGAUGUUGCCUUUUAUGCUCGUGCAGACCAGGAGCUUUGUGCCAUGCAGUUUAGACUCGUGCGGGCAAGGAGCUUUGGUUCGUGCAGUUUAGGCUCAUGCGAACAAGGAGCAUUGGUUCGUGCAGUUUAGGCUCGUGCGAACAAGGAGCAUUGGUGUUGCCUUUUAUGCUCGUGCAGACCAGGAGCUUUGUGCUAUGCAGUUUAGACUCGUGCGGGUGAGGAGAAUUUGUGAAUUUUGUCAAGCACUUUUGGAGAGGCGUUCCUUACAAUCUUCAUAGCAAGGAGCCUUGACCGAGUGAUUGAAGAAGUCUUCGGGAAAGAAGUCGCACAUCGUGAUGGCAACAGACGAUCUUUGUGUCGUAAUUUCAUCAUCUUCAACACGUUCACGUUGCUUUGAAGGUUGACAAGAGCUGCUUUGCCCCCUUUCCGAUUGGCGGACUUGUGGAGGAGACGUAUGCUUCUUGUGCCAUUUCUUAGGAGUGACUUGAGUCCAUCCUUCAAGUUUGCUUGUUUUGGAGGAUGCCCCCGGCGGUUGAGGUGAAAAUUUUGUGUUGAAAGAGCCAGAAGUGAUGGUGGUAUAGUUUGACUUCACCACAUCGUCAAGAUCUAGCUCGAUGAUUCCUUUCUGAGCCCACUUUAUGAUGAGAUCUUUCAGCACAAAGCACUUUUCUGUCGGAUGACUGAUGAAGCGGUGGAAUUUACAGUAUCUUGGACUGUUGGUACGAUUCAUCUCUUCCGGCCAUCUGCACUCAGGCAAACUGAUCACCUUCUUGUCCAACAGGUCAUCCAACAUGGCAACCACAUCAGAGUCAGGGAAUGGAUAAGUCUUCUCUUUAAGCUCCUUCAAAGUGCGUCUACGCAUCUCUUGAUCACGAAAAGCUUCGGUUUGAAUCGUUUUGCCUCGUGUGGAGAUUUUGACGGGAGAUGUGUUGACUGUCAUUGCUUCCUUGGUGGAUUUCCACGUAGCCUUCUCCACCUUUGUCUCAAGAAUUUUGUCGUUCUUGUAGUCGGCGAUCGGUUCCUUCUUCCCAUGAUGGGUGAUGCUCAACUCCAUGUCAUGGGCGUGGGUGGCCAAUUCCUCGAAGGUCCGUGGUUUAAUGCCUUGAAGGAUGUAUUGCAAACCUCAUUGCAUGCCUUGGAUGCACAUCUCGAUUGAAGAGGUCUCCGAGAGCCUAUCUUUGCAGUCGAGGCUUAGAGUGCGCCAUCUGUUGAUGUAGUCAAUGACCGGCUCAUCUUUCCAUUGCUUCAUACUUGUGAGCUCCAACAUGCUUACAGUGCGGCGGGUGUUGUAGAAGCGGUUGAGGAAUUCCCGCUCCAAUUGCUCCCAGCUGUUGAUGGACUCAGGCUCUAGGUCCGUGUACCACUCAAAUGCGUUUCUUUUCAGCGAGCGCAUAAACUGCUUGGCGAAGUAGUCCCCCUCCGUCCCCGCGUUGUUGCAAGUUUUGACGAAAUGUGCAACGUGCUGCUUUGGGUUUCCUUUUCCAUCAAACUGCAUGAACUUUGGUGGUUGAUAUCCCAUCGGCAUCUUUAGGGCAUCAAUCUUCUUUGAAUAAGGCUUUGAGUACAACCCGGAGGUAUUUGAGCUCCCUUCGUACUAUGCCUUGACGGUGCUGGCAAUCAUCUCUUGCAACUGUUGGAUAGAAAGAGAUCCCAUGAGUGCCGCUUCUUGGUCUGGCUCCGGCUUCACAUCGAUUUUCUCCACCGUAGGCUCAUCUUCUGGGUUAGGGUUCUCGCUGUCCUGUGGCUCCAGUUGACUGAUGAGUGCAGCGAUUUGCAAGUCUUUUUCUUCCACAGUUCGGGUUAGCCUUGCGAUUGCUUCAUUCAUUUGAGCCAGUUGUUCUUCGAUGGAGGUAACGCCGAUGGUCAUGACUUGUGCAACCAAUAGACGUGACUUUCCUUUAGACAUCCAAGAUGCUGAAGAAGAACGUCAUUGGUUGUUUUGGGAUGUCAUCUUGUGUGCCUCAGCAACAUGCUUUGGUGCCCCCAGCGAGGUCAGGUUGAUGACAGACUCACACCUUUGAUGCUCCCUUUGCUCUUUUAGCGGCACCAACUUUGAAGUGGCAUGUUAAGGAGCGGUUGUGGUGCUAAUGGAUUGUCCAUUUGCGGCAGAAGUGCUUAGGAUCCUUCCCUCAGUGAUUGCGAGAACGGCUUGUCCCUUGCUUGAUGCCAUUGAUUUUGAGGUGUGUUUGGAUUCCUUAAACGGAGAAAGAUAUGAGAGGUAGAGAUUGUCCCACCGGGCGUGCCAAUUUGUGAACACGAAAAUUUCCUGAAACGAAAGAGACAAGAACAACGUGCACAAAAUAAUAUUUUGGUGUUAAUGGAUUUGUUGGGUUACGAUCUCUUUUAACUUGAUCCUCUGAUUCGAUCUCCGUAAGGUGUUGAUUUAUGGAUGUUUCGUUGAUCUAAGGGCCGUCGAGGCUUGAUCUUGGAUGAACUGUUGGAAGUUUCUUCAAGGGGCCGUGGGCUUGAUCUUUGAAGGUGGAUUUGAGCGGAUCUUCAAGGAGCCGUUGGGGCUUGAUCUUGAGGAUGAGUGUUUCUUCAAGGGCCGUUAAGGCUUGAUCUUGAAUAACGGUGAUGAACGGAUCUUCAAGGGCUUUUGGGCUUGAUCUUGAAGAACGGUUGGAUGUGUGGAUUUGUUGAUGUUGUUGAUCCAAGGGCCGUCGGGGCUUGAUCUUGGAAGAACGAUGAACGAAGAACGAAGAACACUUUCUUCAAAGGCCGUCGGGGCUUGAUCUUGAAUUGGUGAUUGUUGAUCCAAGGGCCGUCGGGGCUUGAUCUUGGAAGAACGGUGAACGAAGAAUGAAGAACGAAGAACACUUUCUUCAAGGGCCGUCGGGGCUUGAUCUUGAAUUGGUGAUUGUUAAUCAAAGGGCCGUCGGGGCUUGAUCUUGGAAGAACGAUGAACGAAGAACGAAGAAGGCUUUCUUGAUUCUUCGGGAUGAACGGAUGAUGAACAAUGAACACUUUCUUCAAGGGCCAUCGGGGCUUGAUCUUGAAUUGGUGGAAGUUCUUCAGGGCCUUUGGGGCUUGAUCUUGAAGGUGGAUGAUUGUUGAUCCAAGGGCCGUCGGGGCUUGAUCUUGGGAUGAACAGUUGUGUGGAUUUGUUGAACACUUUCUUCAAGGGCCGUCGAUGCUUGAUCUUGAAUUGGUGGAAGUUCGUCAAGGGCCGUUGGGGCUUGAUCUUGAAGAAGGAUUUGACGAAGAACGAAGAGAGCUUUCUUGAUCCUUCGGAAUUUGCUUGAAUUUGGGAGGUUGGAUGCUUGAAAGCUUUAGAGUUUCAAAGCUUCAAGGAUUUUGGAUGUGUGGGGAGUAUUCUCUUACAUUUUGGGAGUAGAGAAAUGUAUUUGUGAAUUGGUUUUUGAUACCUUGAUGUAGAAGCCUAUUUAUAGGCUUUGAGAAUGAAUCACCACCACAAAAUAUUUUUUUCUUUUCCAAGCACCAUUGCCUAAUUUCCCACUUAAUACAAUUUUAAACUUGAAGUGGUAAUUUUAUGGCCUAAUUUUCCACUUAAUAUCAUUUUAAACUUGAUAUGUGCAUGCUUUGUCAUUGCCCAAAAUGAGAAGAAAACCUUGUUUUGAUCUUCAAUGGAUUGAAAUGUGCUUUGCCUUGUCAUUGCCCAAAAUGAGAAGAAAAACUUGUGUAAUCCUCCAAGGGUAUUUCUUUUUAUUUUGUUGAGUCACACACCAUGUGUACAAUUUGUAUGACACGUGGCAUAUGCCAUAUAUGCCUUGACACGUCAAAAUUUUAAUGCGUUGGUGAACAUUUAUUUCACCGCAAUUUCGAUGUCUACAAUUUCAUUUCUUGUGAAUAAUGUUUAUCCUGUGUUCUGUCCAAUCGCGUAUUAAAAAAUGUGUGAAGUUUGGAUUAACCACACUCUUUUAGAAUUUCCUUUAUUUACCACUUUUUGAGAAUUUCCAAUAAGACUGGGUGAGUCUCCGCUGAGAAUUUCCUCAACUAACACCACACUACUUGAGGGAUAAUUUGUUAUAUCUUUGAAUAAAGAAUAAAACAGUUUCCUACUUUUGAAGGUACUAUUAACUUACACUAUAUUUGGAUGAAGGUCAAACUUUAUAAAUUGACAUACACCAAAUUCUUUGUUUGGAUUCAUAAACAUAUAAAUUUAGAAUUUCCGCGUGGAAAAAAAAAAUACUUAGAAUUUGAGACCUCCAAUUCUCAAAUUGAAAGUUUAAAAAUAAUAAAUUCCGUAUUCAAUUCAAUUGUUCUUUUAGGUUAACCAAAUAAGAAAAUUCACAAAUUCUAAAAUAUAAAAUCUCAUCAUUUCAAUUUCCGUCAUUUUAAAAUUCCUUAGUAAUAUUAAAUUUCUUCAUCCAAACAUAGUGUUAAGAAAUUUUUUAAAGAUACACUAUUUACACUCAUUUUUAUUUCUUACACAUUUAUUAACUUUGUCCAUUGAUUUCUUCAAUUCAUUUUGCCAGUUAUACAAAAAUUGAGAACAGUAUUUAUGAAUUAAAAAUACAUUUGUAGAUGUCACUACCAAAUUUUUAUUCCUAAUUCAAGAAAAUCUUAUCCAUAUAUGAUUGCCCUUGCCCACUUUAAAUGGGUGCCAUCACUUUACGAUAGAGCAAUCCUAACCGUCCACCUAGGUAAGCAUAACUGGCGAUGCAUGUCGCAAGGGGACCGCAUUGCACAAUAUAAUUAUACUAGUUGAUAAGACAAGUGAUGUCAAUCAAUAAAUUAUUUCAUUAAAACUUAGUUGUAUGUAUCAUAUGUUGUAAUGUAGGGUGUAUGAUAUGCUGACGCUGUAAAAAAAUGUAACCUUUUUAAUAUUACUCAUAAUAGUAAGACUUACCAGUAUUAGGAUGUUAUCAGUGGAAUGAGAAUCCUCUCCAGAUCUUUUUUGUGAGCUAUUAUUUGUAUUUAAUUUUAAAUAUAAAAAAUUAAAAUAAUUUAUGACGGCAGUGAUUCACAUGAUCUUCACAAAGAGAAUCCAAAUAAUCUUAAUUUAUAUCAGUGUGUCUAGAUAACAUGAUCGAGCCCCUUUACUUUUACCCUAUUUAGUAUUUUACAUUUGAACCUGUAAAUAUUCGAUUUUUCUUUGGUGCAACCGAGCACCAAAUAUAGAUUUUUUUUCACUUUUAUAUAAUGAUAAAUAAAGGGCAAUUGGCAGAUUUGAAUUCCAUUCGGAUUGGUCAAAAAUCAUUUUAAAUUGUUUUAUUUAAAAUUAAACACAUAUAGUACUUAAUAAAAAUUAGUCGUACAAUAUACGAUAAACAGAUAUAAUGUAAGGACCUUUAUGAUCUUCACAAAAAAGAUCCAAAGGUUGUGUAGCUGUUUCAAAAGGAUAAUACUCACUUUUGAUUAGUUCAAUGAAAUUUUAAACAUGUUUUAUUGUUUUAAAAAAUAAUAAACAUAUUUAUUAAUGUUUGUUUUACUUUAAAAAAUAAGCAGCACUUGACAACAUUUGAUUGUGCUAAAUAAAAAAUGAGUGACCACUUAGUACUACAGUCUUAUGAUAUUUUUCUUCAUUUGAAAGUGAGAGGUUUUAAGUUCGAAUCUCGUGGAUGACGAAUUUGAUAUCAAAUUAGAUUGCUCACUAUGUGGCUUAGCCGAACUCUCAUUUCCUUUAAUGUAAAAAUAUUGAUGUAUUCAAAAAAAUAAAAAGUGACUAUAGAGGACACUCAAUCUCAGCUGUAUGAUUAAAUCAGACGGUAAGAAAAAUUCUGCAAGCAUACUCGGUUACAUUAAUUGAAGAAAAAAUGGGUAAAUAUUGGGCACCAACGUUAUAAAUACCCUCCACCAUGCACCCAACUCCCUCACACCAUCACAACCCACGUUACAAAUCCUCCUCCUCAUCAUAACCAUUCUGUUUUCCGCAUAAUAUCCAAAAACCUAUCAUGUCUGAAGAGAAACACCACCGCGGUCUCUUCCACCACCACAAGGAUGAAGACAAACCCUCAGACUACCCUCAGUCUGGCUACUCUGAUGAAGGACGUCCCGGCGGCCUCGGUGGUGGUUACGGCGACACCAAUGAUUAUUCUGGUGAAGGACGUACCGGCGGCCUAGGUGGUGGCUAUGGCGACACCAAUGCUUAUUCUGGUGAAGGACGUCCCGGCGGCUAUGGCGGCUAUAACGAGACCACUGCUUACUCUGAGGAAAGAGUUGAAAGACCCGGCGGUGGCCGGUACAGUGAGACUACUGCGGCAUAUGGCAGCACCACCACUCAUGAAUCUGAACUUGAUUACAAGAAGGAGGAGAAGCACCACAAGCAUCUCGAGCACCUCGGCGAGGCCGGUGUAGCUGCUGCCGGCGCUUUUGCCUUGGUACGUAUUGUAUUUUAACCCACCUCUAUAUAUAUAUAUAUUAGAAUAAUGCUAAUAAGACCAAAUUUUGAAAACUAAAUGAUGUGGUUGUUGAUAAUGAACUUAUUACUCAAGUCUUGAUUAACAUGCUUAUUUUCUAAUAGUGACACAUUAUUUGGUUUAGAAAUUUGGUCUUCCUAACUUUAUCAUUCUCAAAAUUUUCAUGAUUUUGAUAGGGUAAUACGGGAGAUCAAAAUUUCUAAACCAAAUUUGCAAACCAAUAGAUGAUUGGAUUAUUAAUUAAGUAUCGAUUGUUUGUUUCUUAUUAACGACAUAUCAUUUGAUUUACAAUUUAGUUAAAAAAAAUUUAUUCUUUCUGUCAUAUCCUUUUGAAUAUUUGAUCACUUUACUCUUUAUCACUUUACCCUUGAUCACUUUACCCAUACUCUUGCAACCGAAUCACCGUCCUCCUCCUUAACCUUCAUUUUUUUGUCUUACAGUACUCCAAUCUAUCAACUCUGUCCAUUGCAACUUUAAUUGUGAAGAAAAUUAAAGUCCUAUCGUAAAAUUAAUUAGUGAUAUGGAGAGUUGCGCAAUUAUUGAUGGACUAGGUAGGUAAGAUACGGAAUCAAAGUCUACCAUUAACAAUGGACGGAAUUGAUGAACCAUAUAGGUAUGUAAGAUACGGAAUCAAAGUCCUCAUGUAAAUGGUACAGUUGCAAUCAGGAGAAGAAAUGAGUUAACUGAUACCUUCGUAAUAGUUCAUGUAGAGUUUUGAUAUUAUUAAGCCUUAACCACCUGAUCUUAUAUAUACGAGGACAAAUCUAAUCAAAUAUGUGUUAAUUUCAAGGUUUGUUUUACAUUGAUGUGAGAUCGAUGCUAGCAAGAUAUAUAACUUAUGUCAGUUUCUAUAUGAUGUGUGUAGCAUGAGAAGCACAAUGAAAAGAAAGACCCAGAGCAUGCCCACAGGCACAAGAUAGAAGAGGAGAUUGCUGCAGCAGCUGCAGUUGGUUCGGGUGGAUUUGCCUUCCAUGAGCAUCAUGAGAAGAAAGAGACAAAGGAAGAAGAGGAAGAGGCUUAUGGAAAGA
rnacentral:lncRNA from 1 species